rnacentral:rRNA from 1 species
UGCCUGUACCCGAAACCGACACAGGUAGGUAGGUAGAGUAUACCAAGGGGCGCGAGACAACUCUCUCUAAGGAACUCGGCAAAAUUACCUCGUAACUUCGGAAGAAGAGGUACCCCUUCACGGGGGUUGCAAUAGAUUGACCCUGGCGACUGUUUACCAAAAACACAGGUCUCCGCUAAUCGUAAGAAAAAGUAUGGGGGCUGACGCCUGCCCAGUGCCGGAAGGUUAAAGAAGUUGGUUAGUCCUUGGACAAAGCUAGCGACUGAAGCCCCGGUUAACGGCGGCCGUAACGAUAACGGUCCUAAGGUAGCGAAAUUCCUUGUCGGGUAAGUUCCGACCCGCACGAAAGGCGUAACGAUCAGGGUACUGUCUCGGAGAGAGGCUCGGCGAAAUAGACAUGUCUGUGAAGAUGCGGACUACCUGCACCUGGACAGAAAGACCCUAUGAAGCUUUACUGUAUCUUGGAAUUGGGUUUGGUCUUUGCAUGCGCAGGAUAGGUGGGAGGCCUUGAAGAUGAUCUUGCGGGGUCGUUGGAGCCACUGGUGAGAUACCACCCUUGCAAUGAUAAAAUCCUAACUUUGAACCGUUAUCCGGUCAAAGAACAGUUUCAGGUGGGCAGUUUGACUGGGGCGGUCGCCUCCUAAAAGGUAACGGAGGCGUGCAAAGGUUCCCUCAGGCUGGUUGGACAUCAGUCGUAGAGUGUAAAGGCAUAAGGGAGCUUGACUGCGAGACCAACAAGUCGAGCAGAGACGAAAGUCGGCCUUACUGAUCCGGCGCUUCCGAGUGGAAGGGGCGUCGCUCAACGGAUAAAAGUUACUCUAGGAUAACAGGCUGAUCUCCCCCAAGAGGUCACAUCGACGGGGAGGUUUGGCACCUCGAUGUCGGCUCAUCGCAUCCUGGGGCGGUAGUACGUCCCAAGGGUUGGGCUGUUCGCCCAUGAAAGCGGUACGCGAGCUGGGUUCAGAACGUCGUGAGACAGUUCGGUCCAUAUCCGGUGCAGGCGUUAGAGUAUUGCGAAGACUCCUCCUUAGUACGAGAGGACCGGGGGGAAUGCACCGCUGGUGUACCAGUUAUCGUGCCAACGGUAAACGCUGGGUAGCCAAGUGCAGUUUGGAUAACUGCUGAAAGCAUCUAAGUAGGAAGCCAGCUUCAAGAUGAGUACUCUCACCGCUUCAAGCGGGUAAGAUCACGGCAAGAACAGCCGUU